AUAAAAAUUGUGAUGCAAAUAUAAUUACCCAUCAAAUAACUCGUGAUCUAUUUUUUUACCAAACAUAGCCCUCGAAUUUCAUCUUGAAAGAGGUCGAAGAAAUGGCAUCGUACCAAAGGAAAUUUGAAACAAUUCGUGGUGACAGACUGGUGAUCGUCUUGUGCCUGACCUGCCUAACUAGGCAAAAACCGAUGGUAAUUGCUUUCCCUACUUUUGCUCGGGAUCGACGACAGAUAUAAAUGUAUGUACAAAUAGUUUUGUGUGGGCGAACAACGUCAGCCGAUACAACUUACAAUGCUUUAGUCUAGAAUUAUUGUUAUACUAAGGUGGAUUGGACACUAAUAAAUAGUAUUGGAGGAGAAAAAAGAAAUCAAAAUCCUGUGCACUUCAGUGUCCGAUCCAGUUCAAUCAACGCCAUACAAGUUGACUUCACCACUAACCAAUCAAAUUGAUGACAUAUCAAUAAUUUAUUGGAAGGACAACAAAAUCGAACAGCAUAUCUUAUCUCCAAACGACAUGACCUCUAGCAACAUCCACGUAGAGUAUUUUCCCAACAUCAAACAAAGGCACACAAACUAUCCGUUUAGCUUGUUUUUU